rnacentral:rRNA from 2 species
CGAGAAAACUUUAGCAAUGUGCGAAAGCACGACAAGGUUAAUCCGAGUGGUUUCUGCUAAAGGAACCUUUUGCCAGUCCUAGAAACACUGGUGAAUAAGGGGUGGGCAAGUUCUGGUGUCAGCCGCCGCGGUAAAACCAGCACCUCAAGUGGUCAGGAUGAUUAUUGGGCCUAAAGCAUCCGUAGCCUGCUUUGUUAGUUUUCGGUUAAAUCCAUUUGCUCAACGAAUGGGCUGCCGGGAAUACUGCAAAAGCUUAGGGGAGUGGGAGAGGUAGACGGUACUCGGUAGGAAGGGGUAAAGUACCUUUGAUCUAUUGAUGACCACCUGUGGCGAACGGCGGGUCUACCGAGAACACGUCCGACGGUGAGGGAUGAAAGCUGGGGGAGCAAACCGGACUAGAUACCCGGGUAGUCCCGAGCUGUAAACUAUGCAAACUCGGUGAUGCAUUGGCUUGAUGCCAAUGCAGUGCCGCAGGG